GAAGGACCCAUCUGUCAUCCAGAUCUCAUGGCAUGCGAGGUCUGCUGCUUGUCUGGAUCCGGGAUCAGGGACAUCACGGUGAGAAUUCCUGACCUCAUCUGGCCCUCCAACAACUAUCCCAUGGUCCUCAUCCAUGUGGGAACAAAUGAUGCUGCCAGGAGUAGUCCAGACCAUAUCAUGAGUGACUACAGGGAUCUGGGGACCAGGCUUAGGAAGACAGGGGCACAGGUGGUCUUCUCAUCGAUCCUCCUGGUCAGUGGUUGCCGUAGGCAUCAUGUCACCUGCAUCAGGAAAGUCAACCCGUGGUUCCGGAGUUGGUGCCAUCAUGUGGGUUUUGGCUUCCUGGACCACAAUCCGCACUUCCGUGCAAGGGACCUCCUGGGACGCGAUGGGCUUCAUCUCUCCACAAAAGAGCGUCUGGUGUCCAUAAGAAUCAAACUGUGAUCUAUGGAGAGCAGCAGGCACCAUUUAAGAAAACCUAAGCUUUGAGGACAAGCUCCCUUUGGCUAUCAUUAAAUCCAGCUGGCCUUUCCCCUAACAGUAGAGCUGUUAAAACCAUGUAAACAAAGAAAAGCAGGAUUUGGGGCAGGAUAGGGAAUGAAGAGAGGAAGACAGACAGCACUAUUGGCAUGACAAAGCUUGGAGGGGGGACAACCAGGGAACCAACACCAGGUGCCAACUUGGGUGGAGGGAGCAAAAUAUCUGGUGGUACUGCUACUGGAACAACCACCACCAUCAGCCUAGUCACUGGGGCUGACUCCUCAGGGUGUGACAUGCCCAGGCCCGGUUGUGUAACCCAUGACUCACACCUACCCCUCCUAUGUAACUUGGUUCCUGAACGAAUGGGGAUGAAUGAGGGUGCUUGAGAGACAAUGGCACUCGGUCUAAAAAUAGCUCCCUCUGAAUGACCAAACCAUCAACACCAAUACCUGGAUCAGCCCUUGGGACCACCCUCAGCAUUCAAGAAACAAAAGAUGAGGCAAGCCACCUUUGUGCCAGGCUGCACAUGCUCAGUAAGAACACCUGGAGCCCUCUGGGGCAGGAAUGACAUUGCCUGGACAGGCCCUCCCCAUAGGAGAUCAGAGGUUGUCUGCCCCAUAAAAGGGGUAGUGAAGACUGACUUCUUGGGAUGCCUUCUCCAUCUGGACCAGCACCAUGCCACACCACCUAUCCACCCAGAGGCCCUGCCAGUGACCCACCUCUGGACAAGGACCCCUUUCCAUCCUGGAUAGGUAGCUAUCACCCCCACCCUCUCUUCAACUAGGGACUUGGACUCUGUUUCUCUUCCCUACCUGGACUCCAACCCUUCCACUGAGUCUGUUUCUCCUGCAGCUAUUGUGAGUGCUUGUGUGUGUGUGUGUGUGUGUGUGUGUGAACCAAUAACUUCAUGGGGCUGUGUAUUGUGUUUUCUGUUUAAUAUAACUGUUAUUUGAACCCCUAAGUUAGGUUUUGCUUUACUAUGGUUUGGCCCUGCUCCAAUCUCUGCUCUUCACCCCUCUAACUUCUGUCUAAUUUCUCCCUCUCCUGCUUCUGGCUCAUUGCCUCCUCCAACACCUGUCCUGAGUUCCUCUCUGCCUCCAAACCCCCUGUUUCUUUGCCACGGUCUUAUCCCUACUGCCUUUUCCUUUCCCCCUAAGCAACCAGGUUUCUGCCUCAGUUUUUUUCCUGGCCAUCUCCUCCUUGCCACCAGGCUUUUUUUUUUCUUCUUUCCCUUGCACCAGUGACCGCGAGUAACCCUGGGGCCACUUGAUCUUAAGUAACCCCAAGCCUCAGUUCCUCAGCCAGCUUCUCUCUAGUCUGCCAGUUCUAAUCUCAGUUCUGGCAACUUUCACUCCCUACACUUUAACUCUCUCUCUCUCUCACCUUAACCUUCCCCAGCUACCCCAAGCGCACACACAUACAUACCAUGCCAUCCAAGUUAGGAACUUACCUGUGUGUAGGUGGGUUAUAUGUGUGUGAACUGGUGAGUCUGUGUGUGUGUGUAUAAUAUAUAUAUAUCUCAUUGUGUGCAUGAUAUACAAAUAAGUGAUCUGUGUAUGUGUACAAAGUAUGUGGGUAUUGACAAUUGAUUUUUGUCUAAUUUUUAGUGUGUAGUGUGUAUGUGCUUGAAUUGGUGAUAGGUAUGCAUGUGCCUAGGCUGGUUUGGAUGUGUAUGUGCCUGAGCUGGUAGUGUGUGUGUGUGUGUGUGUGUAUGCACCUACUUGAUUUGUGUGUUUGUAUAUGUGCAAUUGUGUCACACCCUCCUGUCUAACAGACAGUGCAAUAUUGAGAUCCUGAGAGUUGGCCUGAACCCACAGGGCAACAAAAAAUUAUGACCUGCUGCCCUGUUUCAUUUUGUAAUUUCAGGCCCGUAUUUGGGCCUGAAUUUGUUUGUUGCAAACUGCUCUGAGCCUUUUGGAAAGGGUGGGAUAUAAACCUAAAAUAUAUAUAUAAGGGGAAAAUAUAUCACAAGAGCAUAGUUUGUUGAACAUAACUUCAUUUCAUGUGUCCUAUUAAAUGCAAUGUCUAUGAAUUGCCGUGGGUUAAAGGCACAGUUUUAAAUGUUUCUUCAAGCUUGUUUUCUUUGAUAACAUUGCAAAGAUAAAUUCAAGGGUGCUGAGAAGAGAGAACUUUCUGGACCAGAUAAUGAAUAUUUUUAGACAAAGACUUGGAAACUUUGGAAAGAACGUAAUCAAUUGCUGAGACUCAUUAAAACAUGUCUUUUACUUACAAAUAACAGAUCAGUGUGCAGACUCUAAUCUCUAGGUUGUUUUUAAGUUAAAGGUGGUAGAAAUCAUUUUCACCUUAUCUGCAGUAGGUUAUGUAUUAGACUAUCAAUAAAGAUGUUGGAUCCAACUUUUCCAUAAAAAUUUCAAUGAAUAGUUAAGAAUUCAUAAGGCUGGAAUACCCUGAUCAUAUUAUAUUGUCCUUAUGUAGGCUAUCUAUUUCCAGCAGUGUUACAGGGCUGAGAGCGUAAAAUAUAUUGAAUCUUUUGAACUAAUUACUGGGAACAGAGAGUGCUCCUCCUCUGUUUCCCUCAGCACAAUACUGUCCGUAAGGCCUGUGCAAAGCUUCGCCGCCUGUUUUGUUUUGAUGCUGUUUUGACUCAUUUCAAGCAUUGAAACAGUGAAAUUGAAACGCAACGUAGGUCUUCAAAACAGCCUCAAAAUGAAAUGAGGACAGUUGAAACAUUUUGAAAGUUUCAAAAGUUUUCAACCGUUUUGAGUUUUGAAGAGGCAACCAGGUGGUGGGAGGCAGGGGAGAACCAGGGCUGCACUCUGAACGGCUCUGAAGCUCCAUGUGGUUCAGCCCGGCAGGGAGUGCAGACCUGGCUCUCCCUGCCUCAUGCCACUGGGCUGUGCUCCGUGGGGCUGGCGGAGCCAAUCAGAGCACAGCACUGGCUCUGCCUGCCUGCCAUCACCAGGCUGCACUCCGAUUGGCUCUGCCAACCCCAUGGAGCUCAGCCUGGUGGUGGGAGGUGGGCAGAGCCAGCACUGCACUCUGGCUCCUGUCAUCAUCCUGAGUUCCACGGGGAUGCAAGCCACUGGGAGCUGAGCCCAGUGGAGGGAGUCAGGGCACAGUGCUGGGGCUGUGCUCUGCCUCCCUCCACUAGGCUCAGUGCCCAGUGGUUUGCAACCCAGUGUGGGGAAGCAGAGCCCAGUGCCAGAGCUGUGCUCCAUCUCCCUCCACUGGGCUCAGUGCCGGUCCCAGGUGGCAGCAGCAGACUCCCACCUGCACAUCCGGGAGGGCUGUGGGGCUCUGCUGGACUCCUCCCAGGGGUGCAGGCCCCUGAUCUGCCUGUGAUUACAGGAGGCUGCUCCUCCUCCAGUCUUGUGCUUCCCCAUUCUAGCCUGUGGGCGAAACAUCAAAACAGCGUCGAAACAGUGAAACUGUUUCAACAAAGCGAAAUGGAACAAUGCUUUUGAAACUAAACUAAACUCAAAACGAAACACUGUUCCCCUGAAAUGUCGAGUUGGAAGUCGAAGUGGAAUGGUGCCGUUUUGUACAGCCCUAAUGUGCACAGGCACUAGUCCACAAAACUUACUUCCUAAAGUUUGUUUUAUUUAAUUUAAUAAAAUGUAAACCUCAAACUAACUGACUGGUCCUAGGACUUUCAUUACAGGUUGUCUCAGACUCUAGCUCCACUUUUCUAGGAAUGUACAUCCAGGCCAAUUACAUCCUGCUGAAGUUGAAUCCUGUUGUCAUUCUCACUAGUAUGAUAAGGCAGUAAUUACAUUACAAUUCUGUGCUGAUCCUGGCAUAUGAUCUCAGAGUGACUCAGCUUCAGAGCCCUGCAAUAGAAAAUAAAAGGACAUACUCUGUAAACAUUUUCAAGCACAAUAUAUAGACCUGUAAGUGAAAUGAUUUAAAUAAUGGUUAUUUAUAGUAAUCUGUUAUUUCUUGGAAUCGAGCAAAUAUGGUUCAUCUCUCUCAUAAUAAAGUUAUU